rfam:Picea glauca, whole genome shotgun sequence.
UACAACAUAGUGUUAAUGCAUUGGAUCCCAUUAGAAAUUUGCAGUUAAGCGAGCUCAAGAUAGAGUAGUACUAGGAUGGGUGACCGCUCAUGAAGUCCUAGUGUUUAAC